rnacentral:rRNA from 1 species
UCAAGGUCAAGCUAAGAAGAGCAUAGGGAGGAUGCCUUGGCACCAGGAGCCGAAGAAGGACGUGACAAGCUGCGAAAAGCUUCGGGGAGGCGCAAAUAGCCAAAGAACCGGAGAUAUCCGAAUGGGGGAACCCGGCUAGGGGAAGCCUAGUCAACCUAUGGUAAAACAAAUAGCCAUAGGUGGGGAAACCAGGGGAACUGAAACAUCUAAGUACCCUGAGGAAAAGAAAGAAAACUCGAUUCCCUAAGUAGCGGCGAGCGAAAAGGGAAAAGCCCAAACCAUAUAAAGAAAUUAUAUGGGGUUUAGGAUAAGACAAAGAGAAGGGAGUAUUCUAGCAGAAUAAGGAUGGAAAGCCUAACCAUAGAGAGUAAAAGUCUCGUAAGCGAAAGAAGAAACCGGAAAGUCUUAAUCCAGAGUACCACGGGACACGAGAAACCCUGUGGGAAGAAGGGGGGACCACCCCCCAAGGCUAAAUACUACCUGGUGACCGAUAGAGGAAAGUACCGUGAGGGAAAGGUGAAAAGAACCCCGGGAGGGGAGUGAAAGAGAACCUGAAACCCUAUGCUUACAAGCAGUGGGAGCAAAGAAAGAUUGUGACCGCGUGCUUUUUGUAGAACGAACCAGCGAGUUACUGUCAGUAGCGAGGUUAAGCACUAAAGGUGUGAAGCCGAAGGGAAACCGAGUCUGAAGAGGGCGAUCAGUUGCAGGCAGUAGACCCGAAACCGAGUGACCUACCCAUGUCCAGGGUGAAACGGGAGUAAAAUCUCGCGGAGGCCCGAACCCGUGUCUGUUGAAAAAGGCUGGGAUGAGGUGUGGGUAGCGGAGAAAUUCCAAUCGAACUCGGAGAUAGCUGGUUCUCCCCGAAAUAGCUUUAGGGCUAGCGUUAACCAUGAGAGAUGGAGGUAGAGCACUGAAUAGGCUAGGGGGCGUAGAGCCUACCGAACCUUAUCAAACUGCGAAUGCCAUACUCUAAGAGGUUAGCAGUCAGACUAUGUGAGAUAAGUUUCAUAGUCGAGAGGGAAACAGCCCAGACCAUCAGCUAAGGUCCCAAAGUGUAAGUUAAGUGGGAAAGGAUGUAGAAAUGCAAAGACAACCAGGAUGUUGGCUUAGAAGCAGCCAUACAUUUAAAGAGUGCGUAAUAGCUCACUGGUCGAGUGAUUCUGCGCCGAAGAUGUCCGGGGCUAAAACUUACCACCGAAGCUAUGGAUCUACACCAAGAGAGUAAGAUGGUAGGGGAGCAUUCCAUACAGGUAGAAGCUAACCUGAAAGGGGAAGUGGACAGUAUGGAAGAGAGAAUGCUGGUAUGAGUAGCGAAAGUUAGGUGAGAAUCCUAACCAUCGAAAGCCAAAGGUUUCCUGAGGAAGGUUCGUCCGCUCAGGGUAAGUCGGGACCUAAGCCGAGGGCGAAAGCCGUAGGUGAUGGAUAACUGGUGGAAAAUCCAGUACCACCGAGAGGCGCAAAGAGAGAAGGAGUGACACAGGAGGAUAAGCUAACCAGGGGGAUGGAAAGCCCUGGCCAAGCAGUAAGGGAGAUAAGAUAGGCAAACCCGUCUUAUCAAAAAUCCUAAGCUGUGAAGGGGAUCGAAAAAGGAGUAGAGAAGUAGCUGAAUUCACACUGUCGAGAAAAACUUCUAUCAAGCCUUGAGGUGCCCGUACCGCAAACCGACACAGGUAGGCGAGGAGAGAAUCCUAAGAUGAGCGGGAGAAGUGUUGUUAAGGAACUCGGCAAAAUGACCCCGUAACUUAGGGAGAAGGGGUGCCUGAGAGAUCAGGCCGCAGAGAAAAGGCCCAAGCGACUGUUUAGCAAAAACACAGGUCUCUGCUAAAUCGAAAGAUGAAGUAUAGGGGCUGACGCCUGCCCGGUGCUGGAAGGUUAAGGGGAAGAGUGAACCGAAAGGGGAAGCUCAGAACUUAAGCCCCAGUAAACGGCGGCCGUAACUAUAACGGUCCUAAGGUAGCGAAAUUCCUUGUCAGGUAAGUUCUGACCCGCACGAAAGGCGUAACGAUUUGGGCACUGUCUCAACAACACACCCGGCGAAAUUGUAGUACUCGUGAAGAUGCGAGUUACCCACGACAGGACGGAAAGACCCCGUAGAGCUUUACUGUAGCUUGGCACUGAAUUUUAGUAUUACAUGUACAGGAUAGGUGGGAGACAAAGAAAUCGGGACGCCAGUCUCGAGGGAGUCGACGUUGGGAUACCACCCUUGUAAUAUUGAAAUUCUAACCAGUGUCUGUGGAACCAGGCAUGGGACAAAGUCAGGUGGGCAGUUUGACUGGGGCGGUCGCCUCCGAAAGAG